rnacentral:rRNA from 1 species
UACGAAGGGGGCUAGCGUUGCUCGGAAUCACUGGGCGUAAAGGGCGCGUAGGCGGAUCUUUAAGUCAGGGGUGAAAUCCUGGAGCUCAACUCCAGAACUGCCUUUGAUACUGAAGAUCUUGAGUUCGGGAGAGGUGAGUGGAACUGCGAGUGUAGAGGUGAAAUUCGUAGAUAUUCGCAAGAACACCAGUGGCGAAGGCGGCUCACUGGCCCGAUACUGACGCUGAUGCACGAAAGCGUGGGGAGCAAACAGG